CCGUAUGUAGAUUUAGGUUUGUCUUUUAUAGUCUUGCUAGAUAAGUUUGUUUGCUUGCACAAACGACUGCGCAGACACUAUCCGCUGCUGUUCGAAAUGAGUGCUUCAAGAGUGGCCGUGGUAACUGGUGGAAAUAAGGGGAUUGGAUUUGCUAUAGUCAAAUCUCUUGCCACACAGUUCGAGGGAGAUGUGAUUUUAGCAGCUCGUGAUCCUUCUAGAGGACAACAAUCUCAAAAUGAUUUGGAGAAACAAGGCAUAAGAGUCAUUUACCAGCAGCUUGACAUAUCAAAUUCCAAAAGCAUUCAGGAGUUCAAAAAUUUUCUUGAAAAGAAAUAUGGGGGCUUAGACGUCUUGGUGAAUAAUGCAGCUAUUUCCUACAAGCCAGCAAGCACUGCUCCUUUGGCAGAGCAAGCUCGAGAAACAGUUUGUGUCAACUUCACUGGUACACUUAAUGUGUGCCGAGCUUUAUUUCCACUACUGAGACCUCAUGCUAGGGUAGUGAAUGUUGCAUCAUCUGCUGGUCAUUUGAAGAUACUGAAGCCAAAUCUUCAACAGCAGUUUGCCUCAGACUCACUAACUGAAAGCGAACUGGAGAUGUUAAUGAAUCAGUUUGUUUCAGAUGUUGAAGCUGGCGUCCAUGUUGAAAAAGGAUGGCCUAAUCCUUUCUCAGCAUAUGGAACGUCUAAGGUUGGACUUGCUGCUUUGACCAAAGUUAGUGCAAGACAAAUGUCAACUGGAGACAAAGAGGACAUUCUUGUGAACAGUGUACACAGCCAAACCGAUGGCGCACAGCAGAAGCUAGUUUUCAUGCAGUGCCACCAAGCGUCAAUACAGGAAACAGAAUUAACACAAAGCUGUUGAGCUGGAAGAGUGCAUGCAGACAGAUACAGAGAAUGUAGGGUACCUGCCAACGUAAGGUUGCAACAUCAUCUGAGUGAAAGCAUGGACAGUCGGAAACAUUUCAGGCCAGAUUAGUGAAGUUUGGCCCAACUGCGGAUAGAAAUGGAGACUCUACGAGGUCAAUUACUGUAAGAGUAAGGAGAUAGAGGAGAUCAAUAGUUCAUACGCCACUGUGAUACCAUCUAGUUUAGGCGCGAUGGACUGAGCUAGGCGGCACAGCGAAGAGGUGAUGUGAAACUUUUUCGGUUUCUAGUGAAUUGAGUUGGAAAGAGACCGUAGAUUGGGGCUAUCAAGCGAGCGAACUGUGAAGGAAUGAACGUUCGCGCGUUUGUAUGAAGUGUAUGGUGAUUUUGCUUCAGAUCAGCAUUCUAUAAGGAACAGCUGCCGUCUACUAGUAGUCUCGUACCAGAUGCUCUCGGGCCGUUGUGCCCGAUUCCCGUAUGACACGACAACGCCUAGGAUGAGAAAAUGAGAAAGUAGAUUGUGCCUGUUCUCUCAGAAACACUAAUGCACAGCAUGUGCAAGCCAGUUAAUCUUGCUCGAUUAGCUAUGUAGACUGUGUUUACUUUGCCUUCAUGGCGGUUCUAGUUUCUUGUUUCUCUUUACAGAUUGUGCGCACGUCCAGACUUGUCUCUAGAGCAGCACCGAUGAAUUCUAGAUGCAGACUUCCAGCGUUUGAAUCGCUGUCAGAAUUUUUGUUAGACGUUUCUGCUGCUUCUAUGAGGUACCCUAGAUGUACGCGUAGUUCUAGUGAAGACUGACUACUGCGAAAUAUCGUAGAUCCGCUGACCGUUUGGAACACUAAACGAAUCAUAUAUAAUUUCUUCAUCUACCAUUCGCUUAUCUUGGUAGCGAUUGAGCGAUUCCAAGU